rnacentral:lncRNA from 1 species
CGAUAGGUCCUGCUCGAUGAGGCUUCUCGAGAUCCCCAUUUCCCCUUGAGCACAUUCCAUUCUUUGCUAAAUAUGUUUUUCUUGCUUCUCGAUCCCCUGCUAUUGGAUGACAUUGCGACUUUGAUUCUCCAAAAGCUUGUAAAGAUGGUAAUAUAGCGAGUCCACUAUGUUUAUAUAGCGGGGGAGUCGCGGAAUGCUUUUUAGUUUGGUACCAAGUGCAUGGCAUAUAUAUCAAGAAGAUUUAGAAGAUUGUUCAAAAUAUUAUCUCAUGAGAUCAUGUGGGUACUGAUAACAAUAUUGACAUUUCCAUGUACAUUAUACGAUGCAAUGUGUAUGCCAUCCCACAAUAAAUUACCAUAUAGUUAAAUGAAUGCAAUUGAGUAAUGUAGCAAUAUACCUAGUUGAUUAUGUGUCCCAAAUGGUCUUACAUUUGUUUGUGGACCAUAUCUCAUGACUAUACAUUCGGAGACAUUACGUAGCUUGCAAAAAUACACAUCUCUCAAUCCUGCCCGUGUGGUUAACUUAUUUCCUUUUUCUUUCGUGUCCUUCAUUUGGCAACUGGUGUAUUCACAUUCACAUACCUAAAAUCAUGGAAGUUGGAUAUAUUGACCUAAUUUAAUUGUACAGUAUUAGAUGAGAG